rnacentral:rRNA from 1 species
GGCGAACGGGUGAGUAACACGUGAGUAACCUGCCCCCGACUUCGGGAUAAGCCCGGGAAACUGGGUCUAAUACCGGAUAUGACCACCGAWSGCAUGWUUGGUGGUGGAAAGUUUUUUCGGUUGGGGAUGGGCUCGCGGCCUAUCAGUUUGUUGGUGAGGUAAUGGCUCACCAAGACGACGACGGGUAGCCGGCCUGAGAGGGCGACCGGCCACACUGGGACUGAGACACGGCCCAGACUCCUACGGGAGGCAGCAGUGGGGAAUAUUGCACAAUGGGGGAAACCCUGAUGCAGCGACGCAGCGUGCGGGAUGACGGCCUUCGGGUUGUAAACCGCUUUCAGCAGGGAAGAAGCCCCUUGGGGUGACGGUACCUGCAGAAGAAGUACCGGCUAACUACGUGCCAGCAGCCGCGGUAAUASGURGGGUACAAGCGUUGUCCGGAAUUAUUGGGCGUAAAGAGCUCGUAGGUGGUUGGUCACGUCUGCUGUGGAAACGCAACGCUUAACGUUGCGCGUGCAGUGGGUACGGGCUGACUAGAGUGCAGUAGGGGAGUCUGGAAUUCCUGGUGUAGCGGUGAAAUGCGCAGA